UACCAAGGCGAUGAUGCAUAGCCGAGUUGAGAGACUGAUCGGCCACAUUGGGACUGAGACACGGCCCAAACUCCUACGGGAGGCAGCAGUAGGGAAUCUUCCACAAUGGACGCAAGUCUGAUGGAGCAACGCCGCGUGAGUGAAGAAGGUUUUCGGAUCGUAAAGCUCUGUUGUUGGUGAAGAAGGAUAGAGGUAGUAACUGGCCUUUAUUUGACGGUAAUCAACCAGAAAGUCACGGCUAACUACGUGCCAGCAGCCGCGGUAAUACGUAGGUGGCAAGCGUUGUCCGGAUUUAUUGGGCGUAAAGCGAGCGCAGGCGGAAGAAUAAGUCUGAUGUGAAAGCCCUCGGCUUAACCGAGGAACUGCAUCGGAAACUGUUUUUCUUGAGUGCAGAAGAGGAGAGUGGAACUCCAUGUGUAGCGGUGGAAUGCGUAGAUAUAUGGAAGAACACCAGUGGCGAAGGCGGCUCUCUGGUCUGCAACUGACGCUGAGGCUCGAAAGCAUGGGUAGCGAACAGGAUUAGAUACCCUGGUAGUCCAUGCCGUAAACGAUGAGUGCUAAGUGUUGGGAGGUUUCCGCCUCUCAGUGCUGCAGCUAACGCAUUAAGCACUCCGCCUGGGGAGUACGACCGCAAGGUUGAAACUCAAAGGAAUUGACGGGGGCCCGCACAAGCGGUGGAGCAUGUGGUUUAAUUCGAAGCAACGCGAAGAACCUUACCAGGUCUUGACAUCUAGUGCCAUUUGUAGAGAUACAAAGUUCCCUUCGGGGACGCUAAGACAGGUGGUGCAUGGCUGUCGUCAGCUCGUGUCGUGAGAUGUUGGGUUAAGUCCCGCAACGAGCGCAACCCUUGUCAUUAGUUGCCAGCAUUAAGUUGGGCACUCUAAUGAGACUGCCGGUGACAAACCGGAGGAAGGUGGGGAUGACGUCAAGUCAUCAUGCCCCUUAUGACCUGGGCUACACACGUGCUACAAUGG
rnacentral:rRNA from 1 species